rnacentral:rRNA from 1 species
UGGGUAACCUGCCUCAAAGAGGGGAAUAGCCUCCCGAAAGGGAGAUUAAUACCGCAUAAUAUGUUUAGGUCGCAUGACUUUAACAUCAAAGGAUUUUCUUUUAAGAAAUUCCACUUUGAGAUGGACCCGCGGCGCAUUAGCUAGUUGGUGAGGUAACGGCUCACCAAGGCAACGAUGCGUAGCCGACCUGAGAGGGUGAUCGGCCACAUUGGAACUGAGACACGGUCCAGACUCCGUAGGGAG